UUUGUGGAGCCUAUUGUUGCGAUCUGGCCAUUUUCUUUUUUUGUUCUUAGGUGAACUUUGAGGAGGUUAAGAAAGAUCUUAAUCUGGUUCCAUCGGUUCCUCAAAAGUCUCUUGCUCACCAGAAAUAUGAAAAUAUGCUGAUGUGGUUAAAGCUUCUGUUAAUGAACAUAUUAAUUGAACCCUAUAUCAUUAUAGUUGAGACUUGAUUCAUUCAAUGGGUGCCAAACUCAUCUAUUUCCAAUUCCACCAGAAAGCACCAGUUUGUAUCAGCAGUUCAGCACCUUCACGGGCUUCAAGGUGCGACGGGGGAUGAAGAUGAGUCUGUGGUACAUAUCACAAACAGAAAGCAAGCGGAAGUUGCACCCAAGAGAAUAUUCUUGAAUGUUGCUAAACCAAGCUCCAAGUUUGUCAACGAGCUGAGCUGCAAUUGAGUUACUUGAGAUUGGCCUUGAAUCGAGCCGAGCAUAGAACUCAUGUAACCAUUUUCAUCACUUCAUGACUUGCUUGGGUUAUAGAAUUUUAAGUUUUGAAGUUGCAAUGCUCUUAUCUAGCUCCAAGCUGUUCAAGUCCCAUCAUAUUUCUAUCUAAUAUAGGGUGAUGACAUUGAGAUAACACCAGAUUGGAUAUUUAACCAGAGUUUCGCUGCAUCUAGGCCAGAUGCUGCUACAUCAAGUAGUGUGGAUGCUAGAUGAUCUCAUGGGGAUGGAAGUUAGAUUCUCAUACUUACGAGUUUUUUCGUACUUUUGGAAACAUUAGAUGGGGAAUAUUAACAUUGUUAUGGUCAGACACGACUCAUUGGGUUAUUGAGUCACUAUGUUUUUUAGCGAUGAUAAAGUGGUUUUAUGUUGCACACGCGUACAAAGGAAGAUGGAUGAUUUUUGACGAUGAUAAAGUGGGCGUAUCUAAGAAUCCUCCAAAAGACAUUGCAUACCUCUCCUUUAUUGGAUGAUUCAAAGUUGAGUAUUUUUAUCUUAUUCUAUGACUUGGAUCUUUCUUUUGUCCAAGGUCGAUUUGUAUACAGAAGAGGGAAACACAAAGAUAGUGGAGGGCUCUACUGACUCAACUAGGAUCUUAUAUUUUGUUAUGUUAAAAACGGUUGAUUGUUGAAUGAUGUUAACACAUUUGUACUAAUUUUCAAGAUUGCUUGAUUACAUUUGUACUAAUUUAUUUGGUUCAAUUCCAUCACUCAUAUAUGCUUAAUCA